rnacentral:rRNA from 1 species
UACGUAGGCAGCAAGCGUUGUUCGGAGUUACUGGGCGUAAAGGGUGUGUAGGCGGUUCUUUAAGUUUGGUGUGAAAUCUCCCGGCUCAACCGGGAGGGUGCGCCGAAUACUGAGGGACUAGAGUAUGGGAUGGGAAAGUGGAAUUCCUGGUGUAGCGGUGAAAUGCGUAGAUAUCAGGAGGAACACCUGUGGUGUAGACGGCUUUCUGGACCAUAACUGACGCUGAGACACGAAAGCGUGGGUAGCAAACAGG